rnacentral:rRNA from 1 species
AGCGGCGGACGGGUGAGUAACGCGUGGGUAACCUGCCUCAUACAGGGGGAUAACAGUUGGAAACGACUGCUAAUACCGCAUAAGCGCACAGUACCGCAUGGUACCGUGUGAAAAACUCCGGUGGUAUGAGAUGGACCCGCGUCUGAUUAGCUAGUUGGUGGGGUAACGGCCUACCAAGGCGACGAUCAGUAGCCGACCUGAGAGGGUGACCGGCCACAUUGGGACUGAGACACGGCCCAA